rnacentral:rRNA from 1 species
AACGAACGCUGGCGGCAUGCCUAACACAUGCAAGUCGAACGACUAAGACUUCCUUCGGGAAGUGUAUAAAGUGGCGCACGGGUGAGUAACACGUAAGUAAUCUACCUUCGAGUGGGAAUAACGUUCGGAAACGAACGCUAAUACCGCAUAAUGCAGCGGCAUCGCAAGAUGACAGUUGUUAAAGGAAUUUAUUUCGCUUGAAGAGGAGCUUGCGGCAGAUUAGCUAGUUGGUAAGGUAACGGCUUACCAAGGCUACGAUCUGUAUCCGGUCUAAGAGGACGGUCGGACACACUGACACUGAAUAACGGGUCAGACUCCUACGGGAGGCAGCAGUCGGGAAUUUUGGGCAAUGGGCGAAAGCCUGACCCAGCAACGCCGCGUGAAGGAUGAAGUAUUUCGGUAUGUAAAAACUCUUUCGACGGGGACGAUAAUGACGGUACCCGUAGAAGAAGCUCCGGCUAACUUCGUGCCAGCAGCCGC